rnacentral:rRNA from 1 species
UCGCUCCUACCGAUUGGAUGGUCCGGUGAAGUCUUCGGACCAUUGCGAGCAACUGGUUCGCCAGUAGCUCUGUAGUGGGAAGUUGAUUUAACCUUAUCAUCUAGAGGAAGGAA